rnacentral:rRNA from 1 species
GACGAACGCUGGCGGCGUGCUUAACACAUGCAAGUCGAACGGGAUUUAGUAGACAGAAGCCUCGGCUAAAGAUUACUAAUGAGAGUGGCGAACGGGUGAGUAACGCGUGAGCAACCUGCCUAUGACAGUGGGAUAGCCUCGGGAAACCGGGAUUAAUACCGCAUAAAAUCGUAGAAACACAUGUUUUAACGGUCAAAGAUUUAUCGGUCAUAGAUGGGCUCGCGUCUGAUUAGCUAGUUGGUGAGAUAACAGCCCACCAAGGCGACGAUCAGUAGCCGGUCUGAGAGGAUGAACGGCCACAUUGGAACUGAGACACGGUCCAAACUCCUACGGGAGGCAGCAGUGGGGAAUAUUGCACAAUGGGGGAAACCCUGAUGCAGCGACGCCGCGUGAACGAAGAAGGUAUUCGUAUCGUAAAGUUCUGUCCUAUGGGAAGAUAAUGACAGUACCAUAGAAGAAAGCUCCGGCUAAAUACGU